rnacentral:rRNA from 1 species
AGUGAACGCUGGCGGUAGGCCUAACACAUGCAAGUCGAACGGCAGCACAGUAAGAGCUUGCUUUUACGGGUGGCGAGUGGUGGACGGGUGAGGAAUACAUCGGAAUCUACUUUUUCGUGGGGGAUAACGUAGGUAAACUUACGCUAAUACCGCAUACGACCUACGGGUGAAAGCAGGGGAUAUUCGGACCUUGCGCGUUUGAAUGAGCCGAUGUCGGAUUAGCUAGUUGACGGGGCAAAGGCCCACCAACGCGACGAUCCGUAGCUGGUCUGAGAGGGUGAUCAGCAAGAAGGGAAAUGAGGCAGGGGGCAAGUGCCUACGGUAGGCAGCAGUGGAGAUUAUUGGACAAUAGGAGCAAGCCUGAUCCAGCCAUACCGCGUAGGUGAAGAAGGCCUGCGGGUUGUAAAGACCUGUUGUUGGGAGAGAAAAGCAGCAGGUUAAGACCCCGCUGUUCUGACGGUACCCAAAGAAUAAGAGCCGGCUAAAUUCGUG